AGAGAGAGACAUGCGCGCAUAUCAAUAAGCGGAGGAAAAGAAACUAACAAGGAUUCCCUUAGUAACGGCGAGUGAAGCGGGAAGAGCUCAAAUUUGAAAUCUUCGAGGUUUUACCUUGACGAAUUGUAGUUUAAAGAAGUGUUUUCUGCUGAAGUUUUGGUAAAAGUUCUUUGGAAUAGGACAUCAUAGAGGGUGAGAAUCCCGUAUUUGACCAUUAUUUUCAGCUUUGUGAUACACUUUCAAAGAGUCGGAUUGUUUGGGAAUGCAGUCCAAAAUGGGUGGUAAAUUUCAUCUAAAGCUAAAUAUUGGCGAGAGACCGAUAGCGAACAAGUACCGUGAGGGAAAGAUGAAAAGAACUUUGAAAAGAGAGUUAAACAGUACGUGAAAUUGUCAAAAGGGAAGCGUUUGACACCAGUGUUGUUUUCUCGAAAAUCAAUUAAAAAAUGGCUAGAUUUUGUGUUGUAUUGACCUUAAUCAAGCUUCACUGCUACAUCUUUUCGUGUCUUUUUUAAUGCACUUUUCGUUUAACAAGUCAACAUCAGUUUCUUUUGUUGUAAAAGGGUCAUUGGAAGGUGGCUUUCUUUUCGGAGAAAGUGUUUAUAGCCUUUGGCCUCUGCAAUCGGAGAGACUGAGGUCUGCAGCGUAGACUCUCCGGGGUUAGAUACAUUUGUGCUAAGUUAUAGCUUUUUAUAGACAACUUGUUGACUAUAAUUAGUCUUGUAGCUUACUCGCUUAUGCUAUUUUACCUACGCUUAGGAUGUUGAAGAUGUAGCACAUCAU
rnacentral:rRNA from 1 species